rnacentral:rRNA from 1 species
AGCGGCCACCAGGUCCUUCGGGAUGCUGACGAGCGGCGGACGGGUGAGUAAUGCAUAGGAAUCUGCCCGGUAGUGGGGGAUAACCUGGGGAAACCCAGGCUAAUACCGCAUACGUCCUACGGGAGAAAGGGGGCUUCGGCUCCCGCUAUUGGAUGAGCCUAUGUCGGAUUAACUAGUUGGUGAGGUAAAGGCUCACCAAGGCAACGAUCCGUAGCUGGUCUGAGAGGAUGAUCAGCCACAUCGGGACUGAGACACGGCCCGAACUCCUACGGGAGGCAGCAGUGGGGAAUAUUGGACAAUGGGGGCAACCCUGAUCCAGCCAUGCCGCGUGUGUGAAGAAGGCCCUCGGGUUGUAAAGCACUUUCAGCGAGGAAGAACGCCUGUCGGUUAAUACCCGGUAGGAAAGACAUCACUCGCAGAAGAAGCACCGGCUAACUCCGUGCCAGCAGCCGCGGUAAUACGGAGGGUGCAAGCGUUAAUCGGAAUUACUGGGCGUAAAGCGCGCGUAGGUGGCUUGAUAAGCCGGUUGUGAAAGCCCCGGGCUCAACCUGGGAACGGCAUCCGGAACUGUCAGGCUAGAGUGCAGGAGAGGAAGGUAGAAUUCCCGGUGUAGCGGUGAAAUGCGUAGAGAUCGGGAGGAAUACCAGUGGCGAAGGCGGCCUUCUGGACUGACACUGACACUGAGGUGCGAAAGCGUGGGUAGCAAACAGGAUUAGAUACCCUGGUAGUCCACGCCGUAAACGAUGUCGACCAGCCGUUGGGUGCCUAGCGCACUUUGUGGCGAAGUUAACGCGAUAAGUCGACCGCCUGGGGAGUACGGCCGCAAGGUUAAAACUCAAAUGAAUUGACGGGGGCCCGCACAAGCGGUGGAGCAUGUGGUUUAAUUCGAUGCAACGCGAAGAACCUUACCUACCCUUGACAUCCUGCGAACCCGGAAGAGAUUCCGGGGUGCCUUCGGGAACGCAGAGACAGGUGCUGCAUGGCUGUCGUCAGCUCGUGUUGUGAAAUGUUGGGUUAAGUCCCGUAACGAGCGCAACCCUUGUCCUUAUUUGCCAGCACGUAAUGGUGGGAACUCUAAGGAGACUGCCGGUGACAAACCGGAGGAAGGUGGGGACGACGUCAAGUCAUCAUGGCCCUUACGGGUAGGGCUACACACGUGCUACAAUGGCCGGUACAAAGGGCGGCGAGCUCGCGAGAGUCAGCGAAUCCCUUAAAGCCGGUCUCAGUCCGGAUCGGAGUCUGCAACUCGACUCCGUGAAGUCUG